rnacentral:rRNA from 1 species
UACGUAGGGGGCAAGCGUUGUCCGGAGUUACUGGGCGUAAAGCGCACGCAGGCGGUCUCUUAAGUUUGGAGUGACAGUUGGUGGCUUAACUGCCAAAGUGCUUCGAAAACUGAGAGACUUGAGGGCUUCAGAGGGACACGGAAUUCCGGGUGGAGUGGUGAAAUGCGUAGAGGUCCGGAGGAACACCAAAGGCGAAGGCAGUGUCCUGGGGAGUACCUGACGCUCAGGUGCGAAAGCCAGGGGAGCGAACGGG